AGCCGGCCUGAGAGGGUGACCGGCCACACUGGGACUGAGACACGGCCCAGACUCCUACGGGAGGCAGCAGUGGGGAAUAUUGCACAAUGGGCGGAAGCCUGAUGCAGCGACGCCGCGUGAGGGAUGACGGCCUUCGGGUUGUAAACCUCUUUCAGUAGGGAAGAAGCGAAAGUGACGGUACCUGCAGAAGAAGCGCCGGCUAACUACGUGCCAGCAGCCGCGGUAAUACGUAGGGCGCAAGCGUUAUCCGGAUUUAUUGGGCGUAAAGAGCUCGUAGGCGGUUUGUCGCGUCUGCCGUGAAAGUCCGAGGCUCAACCUCGGAUCUGCGGUGGGUACGGGCAGACUAGAGUGAUGUAGGGGAGACUGGAAUUCCUGGUGUAGCGGUGAAAUGCGCAGAUAUCAGGAGGAACACCGAUGGCGAAGGCAGGUCUCUGGGCAUUUACUGACGCUGAGGAGCGAAAGCAUGGGGAGCGAACAGGAUUAGAUACCCUGGUAGUCCAUGCCGUAAACGUUGGGCACUAGGUGUGGGGGACAUUCCACGUUUUCCGCGCCGUAGCUAACGCAUUAAGUGCCCCGCCUGGGGAGUACGG
rnacentral:rRNA from 1 species